UACGUAGGGGGCAAGCGUUGUCCGGAUUUAUUGGGCGUAAAGAGCGUGUAGGCGGCCAGACAGGUCCGUUGUGAAAACUCGAGGCUCAACCUCGAGACGCCGAUGGAAACCAUCUGACUAGAGUCCGGAAGAGGAGAGUGGAAUUCCGUGGUGUAGCGGUGGAAAUGCGCAGAUAUCAGGAAGAACACCCGUGGCUAAGGCGGCUCUCUAGUACGGUACUGACGCUGAGACGCGAAAGCGUGGGGAGCGAACAGG
rnacentral:rRNA from 1 species